UCCAGUUGCUCCAAUACUUCAUAUUGUGGUCUUUUAAAUUUUGGCCAUCUUAAUGGGGAUGUGGUAGACCCUCUUUGUGGUUUUGGUAUGCCUUUGCCUAAUGACUAGUGACGUCCUGCACUUCUCCUUGCUUAGUUGCCAUUGAUCUAUCUUCUUUAGUGACGUAUUUAAGGAUUUAGUCUUCUUAAAAAUUUUAAAGUUUUUUUGUUUUGAAUUAACUAUGGAUUCACAGGUGCGAAGAAAUGUAUGGGGGGGAUCCCUUCUUCCGGUCUCCCCCAGUGUUGACAUCUUGUAUCACUGUAGUACAUGAUCAAAACCAGGAAACUGACAUUGGCACAAAACAUACAGUUCAUUCAGAUUUCUCCAAUCACAUCUCAUGUGCGUGUGUGUGUGUGUGUGGGGGGGGGGGGGUGUGGAUGAUUCUUGUCUAUGCCAUUACAACAAGACUCCAACACACUGCCCCUAUGUACCCACACUUGCCUCCUGCGCUCCCCCACAUCCCUCACCCUGGGCACAUCCCUCACCCUGGGCAACUGCUAAUCUGCUCUUCGUCUCUAUCACUAUGUGAUUUCACAAAUGUUACAUAAAUUGAAUUACAUAGUAUGCACCCUUCUGAGACUGGCUUCUUUCACUCAGUAAAAUUUCUUUGACGAUCA